GCCUUUGUGGUGUAGUGGUUAGCACGCUCGGCGCGUAUUCGAAAGGUCCAUGGUUCGAGUUCCAGCGAAGGCA
rnacentral:tRNA from 1 species